rnacentral:lncRNA from 1 species
GUUGAUAGGUUUUCAAGGAACUCCAAAUAUUUCCCAAGGUUGUCGCUGACUUCGACUCCCAGUAUUUGCUUAAAGAUUAUCAUAAACAUUAGAGGGCAAUUUGGACUAAUAAAGAGAUUAGAUUUAUCCAAAUUUAAGCACUGACCAGAGAAAGCAAAUAAGAACUGAUCCUGUCCUUGACAACUCUGCAUUCUUCCAAGUAUGCGGUGAAGAAAAGGAAGCUGUCAUCAAUAUGUGAGUUAUUGGAUUACUCCAUCCGCUGACCUUGAAACCAUGUAAUUG